UACAGAGGUCUCAAGCGCUGUUCGGAAUCACUGGGCGUAAAGCGUGCGUAGGCUGUUUCGUAAGUCGUGUGUGAAAGGCGCGGGCUCAACCCGCGGACGGCACAUGAUACUGCGAGACUAGAGUAAUGGAGGGGGAACCGGAAUUCUCGGUGUAGCAGUGAAAUGCGUAGAUAUCGAGAGGAACACUCGUGGCGAAGGCGGGUUCCUGGACAUUAACUGACGCUGAGGCACGAAGGCCAGGGGAGCGAAAGGG
rnacentral:rRNA from 1 species